AAAUUGAAGAGUUUGAUCAUGGCUCAGAUUGAACGCUGGCGGCAGGCCUAACACAUGCAAGUCGAACGGUAACAGGAAGCAGCUUGCUGCUUUGCUGACGAGUGGCGGACGGGUGAGUAAUGUCUGGGAAACUGCCUGAUGGAGGGGGAUAACUACUGGAAACGGUGGCUAAUACCGCAUAACGUCGCAAGACCAAAGAGGGGGACCUUCGGGCCUCUUGCCAUCAGAUGUGCCCAGAUGGGAUUAGCUUGUUGGUGAGGUAACGGCUCACCAAGGCGACGAUCCCUAGCUGGUCUGAGAGGAUGACCAGCCACACUGGAACUGAGACACGGUCCAGACUCCUACGGGAGGCAGCAGUGGGGAAUAUUGCACAAU
rnacentral:rRNA from 1 species